GCGAGGUAACGGCUCACCAAGGCAUCGACGGGUAGCUGGUCUGAGAGGAUGAUCAGCCACACUGGGACUGAGACACGGCCCAGACUCCUACGGGAGGCAGCAGUGGGGAAUAUUGCACAAUGGGCGCAAGCCUGAUGCAGCGAUGCCGCGUGCGGGAUGAAGGCCCUAGGGUUGUAAACCGCUUUCAGUAGGGAAGAAAAUGACGGUACCUACAGAAGAAGGUGCGGCCAACUACGUGCCAGCAGCCGCGGUAACACGUAGGCACCAAGCGUUAUCCGGAUUUAUUGGGCGUAAAGAGCUCGUAGGCGGUUCAGUCAGUCGGGUGUGAAAACUUGAGGCUUAACCUCAAGAGGUCACUCGAUACUACUGUGACUAGAGUGCGGUAGGGGAGCGGGGAAUUCCUGGUGUAGCGGUGAAAUGCGCAGAUAUCAGGAGGAACACCAGUGGCGAAGGCGCCGCUCUGGGCCGUAACUGACGCUGAGGAGCGAAAGCAUGGGUAGCAAACAGGAUUAGAUACCCUGGUAGUCCAUGCCGUAAACGUUGGGCACUAGGUGUGGGUCUCAACCAACGAGAUCCGCGCCGUCGCUAACGCAUUAAGUG
rnacentral:rRNA from 1 species